GAUGAACGCUGGCGGCGUGCUUAACACAUGCAAGUCGAGCGAGGGAGCACCUUCGGGUGUGAACUAGCGGCGGACGGGUGAGUAACACGUGGGCAACCUGCCUUACAGAGGGGGAUAGCCUUCCGAAAGGAAGAUUAAUACCGCAUAUUAUGAUUUUUCUGCAUGGGAAAGUCAUGAAAGGAGCAAUCCGCUGUAAGAUGGGCCCGCGGCGCAUUAGCUAGUUGGUGAGGUAAGGGCUCACCAAGGCGACGAUGCGUAGCCGACCUGAGAGGGUGAUCGGCCACAUUGGGACUGAGACACGGCCCAA
rnacentral:rRNA from 1 species